AAGUAUAUAGCUCAAUUGGCAGAGCGCUGCAUUGACGUUGCAGAGGCAAUUGGUUCAAAUCCAAUUAUACUUA
rnacentral:tRNA from 1 species